GGAGUGGUCGCGUAGAGGCCAAUCGCACUCCCCUGUCACGGGAGACCACCGUGGGUUCGAAUCCCGCCCAUUCCGCCA
rnacentral:tRNA from 1 species